UACCAGCACCCCGAGUGGUCGGGACGAUUAUUGGGCCUAAAGCAUCCGUAGCCGGUUCUACAAGUCUUCCGUUAAAUCCACCUGCUUAACAGAUGGGCUGCGGAGGAUACUAUGGAGCUAGGAGGCGGGAGAGGCAAGCGGUACUUAGUGGGUAGGGGUAAAAUCCGUUGAUCUAUUGAAGACCACCAGUGGCGAAGGCGGCUUGCCAGAACGCACUCGACGGUGAGGGAUGAAAGCUGGGGGAGCAAACCGG
rnacentral:rRNA from 1 species